CUUGACAUCCAGCGAAUUCGGUAGAGAUACCUUAGUGCCUUCGGGAACGCUGAGACAGGUGCUGCAUGGCUGUCGUCAGCUCGUGUUGUGAAAUGUUGGGUUAAGUCCCGCAACGAGCGCAACCCUUAUCCUUGUUGCCAGCGGUCCGGCCGGGAACUCAAAGGAGACUGCCAGUGAUAAACUGGAGGAAGGUGGGGAUGACGUCAAGUCAUCAUGGCCCUUACGAGUAGGGCUACACACGUGCUACAAUGGCGCAUACAAAGAGAAGCGACCUCGCGAGAGCAAGCGGACCUCAUAAAGUGCGUCGUAGUCCGGAUUGGAGUCUGCAACUCGACUCCAUGAAGUCGGAAUCGCUAGUAAUCGUAGAUCAGAAUGCUACGGUGAAUACGUUCCCGGGCCUUGUACACACCGCCCGUCACACCAUGGGAGUGGGUUGCAAAAGAAGUAGGUAGCUUAACCUUCGGGAGGGCGCUUACCACUUUGUGAUUCAUGACUGGGGUGAAGUCGUAACAAGGUAAGCGUACGUGU
rnacentral:rRNA from 1 species